rnacentral:rRNA from 1 species
GAGUUUGAUCAUGGCUCAGAUUGAACGCUGGCGGCAGGCCUAACACAUGCAAGUCGAACGGUAACAGGAAGAAGCUUGCUUCUUUGCUGACGAGUGGCGGACGGGUGAGUAAUGUCUGGGAAACUGCCUGAUGGAGGGGGAUAACUACUGGAAACGGUAGCUAAUACCGCAUAACGUCGCAAGACCAAAGAGGGGGACCUUCGGGCCUCUUGCCAUCGGAUGUGCCCAGAUGGGAUUAGCUAGUAGGUGGGGUAACGGCUCACCUAGGCGACGAUCCCUAGCUGGUCUGAGAGGAUGACCAGCCACACUGGAACUGAGACACGGUCCAGACUCCUACGGGAGGCAGCAGUGGGGAAUAUUGCACAAUGGGCGCAAGCCUGAUGCAGCCAUGCCGCGUGUAUGAAGAAGGCCUUCGGGUUGUAAAGUACUUUCAGCGGGGAGGAAGGGAGUAAAGUUAAUACCUUUGCUCAUUGACGUUACCCGCAGAAGAAGCACCGGCUAACUCCGUGCCAGCAGCCGCGGUAAUACGGAGGGUGCAAGCGUUAAUCGGAAUUACUGGGCGUAAAGCGCACGCAGGCGGUUUGUUAAGUCAGAUGUGAAAUCCCCGGGCUCAACCUGGGAACUGCAUCUGAUACUGGCAAGCUUGGGUCUCGUAGAGGGGGGUAGAAUUCCAGGUGUAGCGGUGAAAUGCGUAGAGAUCUGGAGGAAUACCGGUGGCGAAGGCGGCCCCCUGGACGAAGACUGACGCUCAGGUGCGAAAGCGUGGGGGGCAAACAGGAUUAGAUACCCUGGUAGUCCACGCCGUAAACGAUGUCGACUUGGAGGUUGUGCCCUUGAGGCGUGGCUUCCGGAGCUAACGCGUUAAGUCGACCGCCUGGGGAGUACGGCCGAAAGGUUAAAACUCAAAUGAAUUGACGGGGGCCCGCACAAGCGGUGGAGCAUGUGGUUUAAUUCGAUGCAACGCGAAGAACCUUACCUGGUCUUGACAUCCACGGAAGUUUUCAGAGAUGAGAAUGUGCCUUCGGGAACCGUGAGACAGGUGCUGCAUGGCUGUCGUCAGCUCGUGUUGUGAAAUGUUGGGUUAAGUCCCGCAACGAGCGCAACCCUUAUCCUUUGUUGCCAGCGGUCCGGCCGGGAACUCAAAGGAGACUGCCAGUGAUAAACUGGAGGAAGGUGGGGAUGACGUCAAGUCAUCAUGGCCCUUACGACCAGGGCUACACACGUGCUACAAUGGCGCAUACAAAGAGAAGCGACCUCGCGAGAGCAAGCGGACCUCAUAAAGUGCGUCGUAGUCCGGAUUGGAGUCUGCAACUCGACUCCAUGAAGUCGGAAUCGCUAGUAAUCGUGGAUCAGAAUGCCACGGUGAAUACGUUCCCGGGCCUUGUACACACCGCCCGUCACACCAUGGGAGUGGGUUGCAAAAGAAGUAGGUAGCUUAACCUUCGGGAGGGCGCUUACCACUUUGUGAUUCAUGACUGGGGUGAAGUCGAACAAGGUA